UCUCCGUAGGUGAACCUGCGGAGGGAUCAUUACUGAGUGAGGGCUUCGGUCCGACCUCCAACCCUUUGUUUUAACCACACUUGUUGCUUCGGGGGCGACCCUGUCGCUUCGGCGGUGCGGCGCCCCCGGUGGCCAUUAAACACUGCAUCAUUGCGUCGGAGUUAAAGUAAAUUAAACAAAACUUUCAACAACGGAUCUCUUGGUUCCAGCAUCGAUGAGGAACGCAGC
rnacentral:misc_RNA from 1 species